UCCAGGUAAAUUUGCAAAGGGCAGGUGUGAUGGGCUUUUUGUGAAAGGGUUGUGUUAAUCCAGUUUCACUGGGUGUCCACAGGAUGGCAAAACCCCACAUGUCUGACCCUGGGGAGGCUGAGAUGAAGCCCUCAGUCUGAAGCAGGAUGUGCUCUUCAACUAAAUGGCUGCAAAUCCUUUUGAGAGCCAAUGCUCACAAGCAUUAAGACAACACACGUGUAGCCAGGAGCAGGCUGGUGCAUCCCUCAGUUCAGCUUGAAAAAACAUCCCUUGCAGCCUGGCAAAGGAAAGGCACAGAGCCACGGAAAGAAGCAGCAGAGACACAGGCCAAGCAAUGCCUGCUUGCUGAAGAGUGAGAGCUUCACGAAUGAGGGCUGAAACUCACCACACAAAAGAGCAAGAAGAAGAAGGUGGUUUGUGGUGCCACAGGGUAUUUUCCAAAGUAUGGCACGUAUUGAUGACAAGCACACUUUUUGCCUUCAGAAA